UCAUUCCGAACCCGGAAGCUAAGCUCUACUGCGCCGAUGGUACUGCACUCGGGAGGGUGUGGGAGAGUAGGUCGCUGCCGUAA
rnacentral:rRNA from 1 species